UACAAAAGGGGCUAGCGUUGUUCGGAAUUACUGGGCGUAAAGCGCACGUAGGCGGCCUUGUAAGAUGGGGGUGAAAUCCCCGUGCUCAACUCGGGAACUGCCUUCAUGACUACAAAGCUUGAGGAUGCGAGAGGUUAGCGGAAUUCCGAGUGUAGAGGUGAAAUUCGUAGAUAUUCGUAAGAACACCAGUCGCGAAGGCGGCUAACUGCCGCAUAUCUGACCCUGAGGUUCGAAAGCGUGGGGAGCAAACCGG
rnacentral:rRNA from 1 species